rnacentral:rRNA from 1 species
UACGGAGGGUGCGAGCGUUAAUCGGAAUUACUGGGCGUAAAGCGUGCGUAGGCGGUUGGCAAAGUCAGCUGUGAAAGCCCCGGGCUUAACCUGGGAAUGGCGGUUGAAACUAGUCGACUUGAAUCUGGCAGAGGGGGGUGGAAUUCCACGUGUAGCAGUGAAAUGCGUAGAGAUGUGGAGGAACACCGAUGGCGAAGGCAGCCCCCUGGGCUGAGAUUGACGCUCAGGCACGAAAGCGUGGGGAGCAAACAGG